UUGAAAUACUGGUUCCUAUAUGAUCACUGAAGUUAAGCAACUUUGAGCCUGGUCAAUAUCCAAAUGGCUGGCCACUUGGGAAUACCAGGUGCUGUUA